CAGCCGCCGCGGUAAAACCAGCACCUCAAGUGGUCAGGAUGAUUAUUGGGCCUAAAGCAUCCGUAGCCCGUUUUGUAAGUUUUCGGUUAAAUCCAUGCGCUUAACGUAUGGGCUGCCGGGAAUACUGCAUAACUAGGAAGUGGGAGGGGUAGACGGUACUCGGUAGGAAGGGGUAAAAUCCUUUGAUCUAUUGAUGACCACCUGUGGCGAAGGCGGUCUACCAGAACACGUUCGACGGUGAGGGAUGAAAGCUGGGGGAGCAAACCGGAUUAGAUACCCGGGUAGUCCCAGCUGUAAACUAUGCAAACUCAGUGAUGCAUUGGCUUAUGGCCAAUGCAGUGCUGCAGGGAAGCCGUUAAGUUUGCCGCCUGGGAAGUACGUACGCAAGUAUGAAACUUAAAGGAAUUGGCGGGGGAGCACCA
rnacentral:rRNA from 1 species